rnacentral:rRNA from 1 species
CUACGGAGGGUGCAAGCGUUAAUCGGAAUUACUGGGCGUAAAGCGCGCGUAGGCGGCUCGAUAAGUCGGAUGUGAAAGCCCCGGGCUCAACCUGGGAACUGCAUUCGAAACUGCCGAGCUAGAGUUUGAUAGAGGAGAGUGGAAUUCCACAUGUAGCGGUGAAAUGCGUAGAUAUGUGGAGGAACACCAGUGGCGAAGGCGGCUCUCUGGAUCAAAACUGACGCUGAGGUGCGAAAGCGUGGGUAGCAAACAGGAUUAGAAACCCUAGUAGUCC